rnacentral:rRNA from 1 species
UUGGAAGUAAAAGUCGUAACAAGGUCUCCGUAGGUGAACCUGCGGAGGGAUCAUUACUGA